AACUGAUACUACCUGCGGGAACCUGCGGAAGGAUCAUUACAGAGUUGCAAAACUCCAAACCAUUGUGAACUUACCUUUGCCGUUGCUUCGGCGGGCGGCCCGGGUCCCGACCCGGCGCCCCCCGGCCCCGUCAGGGGCGCCCGCCGGAGGUAAACCAAACUCUUGAAUUGUAUGGCCUCUCUGAGUCUUCUGUACUGAAUAAGUCAAAACUUUUAGCAAUGGAUCUCUAGAUCGGAAGAG
rnacentral:misc_RNA from 1 species